AAGGCCAUACAAAAUGCUUGUCUUCAAGGCCAACUUGCUUUUACCUGAAAUCUAAACCCUUGAAAGGAAAACCCUGAAAUUGAAAUUGAAGAGGAGCAUCCAAAUGCAAGAAAGAGAGGGUCUUUAAUCUCUUUGAAUCCAAAAUUAUGUUCUUUAGAAGCAGGUUUCUCUCCUUUCCCCUGGUGAUUGGAGCUGUUAUGUAAGUUUUCCUUAUGUUUCUUUUUCCACAUGCUUGUUAGUUUCUGACUUCCUGUUUAUGUUGCUUGGAUUUGCUGGCUUCUUUUGCUAAAAAAUACAAGCAUGUGCACUAAAUUCAGCCCUUUAGAUCAGAUAUUUUAGGACCCAUAACCUGUUUAUACAGAUAGAUGGAGUUGAUUCAACUAAAUUAUAUUAGGAAAAUUUUGGAGAGUUGAUGUGUAUUUGUUUUUAACUAAGGUUUCAUAUUUAUGCUGAUUUGGAGGUCAAAGUACUUGUUGGAGUACUUGUUAUUAGAUUAGUUGUUUAAGCAACCCAAAUAGUCUAAACUGAUUUCAUAGAUGUUUUAGAAAUUGUGGAUAAUGGCAGUCAAGAGGGAAAAAACUUUCAUUGCUUCUUGACUAAUUGCAGCACAUGAUUGCCAAAAUGUGACUUAUCUGGUAAAUGUGAUAUUGGUGUUUCUACCAAAAGUAACUGUGAAGUAAAUAUCAUGUUUCUACGGAAACCUAGCUUGCUUCUGCCUUCAAAAUAUGUUCUCUGCUCUCCAUUUUCUUGAAAUUUUGUAUCCCAAAUUUCGGUGCAAAAUUUGCAUGUAACGCAUUAAAAAAAAACAUAUGGUGGAAGAAAAAUGAAAUUGAUGCGGGGGUGGUUUUGCUACACUGAGUGUGAAAGUUAUUUGCCAUCUGUACCAUGACUUUCCUUGAAUCAUUAUGCUUGCACUGGGAUUAUUAUUUUUCUGAGUGGAAUUCAUUCAGUCACUCCAUUUGAUAGAUAUCUCAUGUUCUUUUUUUAUUUUUCAUUGGACAAUAUACCUGGUUACUUAUAUUUUGGUUUUUCGUAGUCGAGCAGUUUGUACCAUCUUUGAGGUAUUGUUGAAAGAGGAGAUUAAUGAAGAAAUGCAUAUCGUACUAUUGGAACUGAACUAUAUGCAUUUAGAUGAGUAGCAUUUCCUUUUAAGUUUCUGUUAGGCUUAUAACAUACAACUUUGUGUUAAAACAAAAUCCAAACAAAAGCCAGCAUGCAAUUCUUGUUCUCCCCUUUUGCUUCUCCUGAGAAUUUAAUAGAGCGCUACUUACAGCUUCUUCUGAGUUUACUUGAUUGAACUAUUCUUGUGAAUUUUGAGCUUCUCUGAUCAGAGUUGUGUCAAUUUUUGCUGAAAUGUUAUGUCAAAAUUGGACAGAAUUUUAUCUGAAACUAUUUUUGCAAUAACAAUAUAAAGGCACAGAUUUUUUAUGACCUCAAUGUACCGUUAAUAUACCCAUCAGCUACCAAGCCGCCAAUCAAAAUUUUCAUAUUAUUUCAUAACAUGUCUUUUAUGCUUUGGGAAUGACUUUAUAAGGAUUUUGCAGCAUUGGAGUCGUUUCAGGGAAGGCAAUAUUUGGACCCCCACUUGAUGAGUACUGGAAAAAGAAGCUUGAGGAAGAGGCAGCUGCAAAAGAGACUGACACAAGCUCCACCUAGCAAAUAAUACCUGGAAAGAACUUCUGCACAACAAUAGCGUAGAAAUCAAUUUUCCAGUUUGCUUAUUCAUAUGUUUUAUUCUAUUUUUAAAAUGUAGAAUCUGGAGCACAUGAUGCUAUAUUUUAGAUAAGGUGGGGUCCCAGCUACAUCUGUGGGAGGAUAAGAUAAACAUGGUUGGUUAUGUUAUCAUUUUGCUUGUUUUCUGGUCAAAAGAGAAAGGCUUAAGCAACCUUUACCUCUUAACUGCCCUUGAGUUGCACUUCCCAAUAAAUAACGUUGUUGAAUUUUGUUCUCAUUAGGAGGCCAUUGGCGGUGAUGUUUAGCAUGUUAUUGAACUUCUCUGAGAAGAAGACAGCUCGUGUAUUCUAUACUGAUCCUAACUUGAGCAUUGAACCCUGGUGUUCAUUUCUACCUCAAGCUUCUUAUAAACAUUUUAACCUUUUCACCUGGGCUUUGCAUCAUGGUUUGAGCUUAUGCUAUAUAUGUAUGUUGUUGCUUAAAAAGUGACACUAGUUUAACUAGAAGUAGGCGAACCAUUAGCCAAUGAAUUAUAUUCCUCCUUUCUGAAGUUGAAUCCAUGAAACAAUUUAUAAACUGAUUUGAACUCAACUGAUUAGCCUUUAUCGGAUAGGAGCUGGGAGCUGGGAGCAAUCUCUCUUCUUCAUGGACGUGUAAACACAUUGAUGCUGGAAGGCUUGAUGUAAACAAAAGGAAGGCAUUGAGUGCAAACUGGGGGCUCAAGGAACCCUAGUUCUAGGUAAAUAAUUCCUCAACAACAACUUGCAAAUCCAAAAAUGUUAAAUCCAGAUGACUACGUGCAGAAGUGUCUUGCAAAUCCAAAUGUUAAAGCCAGUACGCAAUCGAAAUGAAAUUGAAUCAUGUAAAUGCUCUGCAUAUGCAUAGUAUGCAUGGAUUUACAAGAUACAACCUGUUUCUUGGAAAUUUAUUCAACCAUAUACAUGACUGCAUGUUCAUGUUCUCAUCAAUAAGAAC
rnacentral:lncRNA from 1 species